GACGAACGCUGGCGGCGUGCUUAACACAUGCAAGUCGAACGAUGAAACCUAGCUUGCUAGGUCGAUUAGUGGCGAACGGGUGAGUAACACGUGACUAACCUGCCCCUUUCUCUGGGAUAACGCUCCGAAGGGAGUGCUAAUACCGGAUACUCACAUCGAGGCACAUGCCUUGGUGUGGAAAGUUUUUCGGAAAGGGAUGGAGUCGCGGCCUAUCAGCUUGUUGGUGAGGUAACGGCUCACCAAGGCGACGACGGGUAGCCGGCCUGAGGGGGCGACCGGCCACACUGGGACUGAGACACGGCCCACACUCCUACGGGAGGCAGCCGUGGGGAAUAUUGCACAAUGGGCGCAAGCCUGAUGCAGCGACGCCGCGUGAGGGAUGAAGGUCUUCGGAUUGUAAACCUCUUUCAGUAGGGACGAAGCGAAAGUGACGGUACCUAAAGAAGAAGCACCGGCUAACUACGUGCCAGCCGCCGCAGUAA
rnacentral:rRNA from 1 species